rnacentral:tRNA from 1 species
CGGGGUGUAGCUCAGCUGGUGGAGCGCUAGGUUCGGGACUUAGAGGCCGCACGUUCGAAUCGUGUCACUCCGA